rnacentral:tRNA from 1 species
GAUUAAAUGGCUGAAUUUAGGCGAUAAAUUGUAAAUUUAUUUAUAAGAAAUUAAAUGUUCUUUUUAAUCA